rnacentral:rRNA from 1 species
UGGGGAAUAUUGGACAAUGGGCGCAAGCCUGAUCCAGCAAUGCCGCGUGAGUGAUGAAGGCCUUAGGGUUGUAAAGCUCUUUCGCCCGCGACGAUGAUGACGGUAGCGGGAGAAGAAGCCCCGGCUAACUCCGUGCCAGCAGCCGCGGUAAUACGGAGGGGGCUAGCGUUGUUCGGAAUUACUGGGCGUAAAGGGCGCGCAGGCGGCUGCUCAAGUCAGGCGUGAAAGGCCUGGGCUCAACCCGGGAAUUGCGCUUGAGACUGGGCUGGCUUGAGUGCGGGAGAGGAUGGUGGAAUUCCCAGUGUAGAGGUGAAAUUCGUAGAUAUUGGGAAGAACACCGGUGGCGAAGGCGGCCAUCUGGACCGCAACUGACGCUGAGGCGCGAAAGCGUGGGGAGCAAACAGGAUUAGAUACCCUGGUAGUCCACGCCGUAAACGAUGAGUGCUAGACGUUGGGGAGCCUAGCUUUCCGGUGUCGCAGCUAACGCAUUAAGCACUCCGCCUGGGGAGUACGGCCGCAAGGUUAA